rnacentral:rRNA from 1 species
AUACGUAGGUGACAAGCGUUAUCCGGAUUUACUGGGCGUAAAGGGCGUGUAGGCGGUCUUGCAAGUCAGAAGUGAAAUUCCUGAGCUCAACUCGGGCGCUGCUUCUGAAACUGCAGGACUUGAGUGCUGGAGGGGAUAGCGGAAUUCCUAGUGGAGCGGUAAAAUGCGCAGAUAUUAGGAAGAACACCGGUGGCGAAGGCGGCUAUCUGGACAGUAACGGACGCUGAGGCGCGAAAGCGUGGGGAAAAAACAGGUGUAGAUACCCUGGUAAUCCACGCCGUAAACGAGGAAUACUAGGUGUAGUGGGUAUCGACUCCCUCUGUGCCGCAGGUAACACAAUAAGUAUUCCGCCUGGGGAGUACGGCCGCAAGGUUGAAACUCAAAUGAAUUGACGGGG